UCACAUGAAUGUUUGAAUUAAAAAGGCAGGACAAACCACAACCACUCCCACUUUCUCACAUGGUCACAUCCAUUCUUCAUCUUUCCAGCUUUCCUUCAAUCUGAAAACAUAGAGUCGAUGUCAUCGGUGUUGUCGUCUCGAAUUCGGCUUCGGUUCUGUUAAAAAUCAAAUAAUCCAAUAUCUUCAACUCUGCCAUAUUAUUGACUGCAGAAAAUCGUGAGAAAGCUGUCGUUUUCGAGACGGUGUCGUUGUCUUUUUCAGCUAUCAUCGACGACUUUACACAUAAACCGACUGCUAUGCAUUUUGAGAAGGGAUGAGGGGUAAGAUUUACGACAUUUGUCAUAGUUGUAGAAGCACAGAUCACUUCUUCGAAGAAUGCAAGAAAAAACUUCGUUGUCCAUGGUGAGUAGAUGGAGUCUAGAAAUGUUUUGAGGUUGAAAAGAAGGGCAAAAGUAAAGAACGGCUAUUCAGAACUUGCAGUGUUGGCUGUGGAUAUUGUCACAGGGUAAAGGUAGAAAAAGAAAUUGGGGAGUCGAGCACCAUUAAUGAAGCAAUCGGUGAGUCGAGCACCAUUGAUGAAGCAAUCGGUGAGUCUACUACCAUUGAUAAAGUAAUCGACGAGUCGACUACUGUUGAGGAUUUGCCAAGCAUGUUCGAAAGUCUAGGUCGAAUAGGUAAGAAACGAAACCUUGAAAUUUCGUUCAAUCUGACACUUCGCAAGUGCAAAGAGCCAUCGAAAGAUAAUGGAAAAGGAAAGGGGUCGGCCAAAUGAGUAGUUAUAUUUUGUUCUUGCAAUGUUGCUUUUUGAUUACUUUUAGUGUGUACCAAAUCCUAUUGCUAAUUGCAAAUGACUUCCACUGUCUAUGUAUAUUGAAUCUUGUUGCUGAAUAAUGAGUGCAUUUUCGAUAAUUU